CCAAAAUCGAAUUCCUCGUAAACAUCCAAAAUCGAUACUUAUUCCAAAAGGCUAUCACGAAAGUUAAUGUUUUGAUUCUUUUCCUCAUCUGCCCGAUUUCAAUAAUUUGUCUAUUCAAAUAAAAAGUCAUUUUGGCCCGUCUCUCAACUUAGCUUUCGAUUGAUUAAUGACUUUUUGCUUUUUUUUUGGUUCUUGAAAGUUGGUAUUAUUGUCAUGUGCAAUAGCAUAGGAAGCGCCAAACGUUGAAUUUAAUUUUAAAUAUUAGUGACA
rnacentral:lncRNA from 1 species